rnacentral:rRNA from 1 species
UACGUAGGGGGCAAGCGUUGUCCGGAUUUAUUGGGCGUAAAGCGCGUGUAGGCGGCUUUGCAAGUCGGGUGUGAAGGCCCUCAGCUCAACUGAGGAAGUGCGCCCGAAACUGCAGAGCUUGAGUGCCGGAGAGGGUGGCGGAAUUCCCCAAGUAGAGGUGAAAUUCGUAGAUAUGGGGAGGAACACCGGUGGCGAAAGCGGCCACCUGGACGGGUAACUGACGCUGAGACGCGAAGCGUGGGAGCAACAG